CUCAGAGAAGAGAAUGGGUUGAUGACCCCACAGCAAAAUUAACAGAUGGAGAUGUAGCCUGUUUUUCUGAAUAAAUGGAAACAUGGAUCCACAGUGCGAGCAUAGAGUGGUUGGCAGUCUGGCUGUCUGGGGCCUUACAUAUCCAAGUCAACCUUGCAUCUCUGGAUCGCCUAAACCUCCAGCUGUCUGCUUGUGGAUUCUCUCUGUACAAAGACCCUGAAAAUAACUUUAUUUUUAGAGCCAGUUACACCGGAUGCUUU